GGAAUUUGCUUCCUUGUACUCAGAGCCUUCAUUUGAAACAUGAGCUGCUUGGACUUCAGGGACAAAAGGCUGUUCAGAGGAAGAAGUCAAAGAAAGAACAGAUGCAUUUCUGUCAGAGCGGUGAUUGUAGAAGGUGUGUGAGACCUAAUGUGGAUCCAGUGGAUCCAGCAGCAUGGAUCAGUGUGAGGACACACAGGAGGGAGCCCCUCCCUCUAAAAGCACUCUGUGUGGGGAAGAUGAGAGCCAGAGCAAAGCUCAGAGGAACCGACCUGGACCUGGAUAUGAACCCAGCUGUGUGUCCAUCAGCAGUGACAACGCAGAAGAUUAUUUAGCUAAAUUCAAAAACAGUCGUUCAAGAGUAAAUCAGAUUCAUCAGAGAUUCCAAACUGGAUCUGGAUCUGAACCCAGCUGUGUGUCCUUCAGGAGUGACCAGUCAAAGAAUCCCAUAACUCAUUUUAAAUCAGCAGCAUCUUCUUCUGCAGAGAGGAUUCAUCAGAGUCUCCCAACUAGAUCUGGAUAUGAACCCAGCUGUGUGUCCUUCAGGAGUGACCAGUCAAAGAAUCCCAUAACUCAUUUUAAAUCAGCAGUAUCUUCUUCUGCAGAGAGGUAAGCGACUGGAAUGACACUUCCCUGCCCCCCACCUGCAAUGGGGACAUGAACAGAACAUACUUCAGCACUUUCAAAGACAGAGGAUCAGGAAAUCUAGAUAGAGCUUUCCAGAUGACCUCACCCUGACUGUGAAGUGUAAUCUGUCCUAUGACAAAAGUGGAAAGGAUUUGACAUCUUCCAGGGACACCAUUGAACUUAUUUAUUUUAAGUUCAGCGUGCUACCUUGUUGGGUCCAGAUGACCCCACACCAAACACUGAUGUGCCUUGAGUAGCACAAGGGCAAGAACCUGAUAAUCCUGUCUGAAAGUGUAUGCUUCUAUUUUCAACUAGAUCUUCAAAACUCCCAGUCCAUGGAGUCCCAACCAAGUCUGUUCAUAAUUUGAGUUCAAUAGUUCAACAUGGAAUAGAAUCUACUGAACUAACAUGACAGGAGAAAAUAUUUAUAACACAUGCUUUCCCAUUAGGAUUCAUCAGAAUCUCCAAACUGGAUCUGGAUCUGAACCCAGCUGUGUGUCCUUCAGGAGUGACCACUCAAAGAAUCCCAUAAUUCAUUUUAAAUCAGCAGCAUCUUCUUCUGCAGAGAGAGUGGACCAGCAGAGCUCAGAGACUCCCAGUGGUCCGUCUGUCCAGCAGCAUCAAAC